rnacentral:lncRNA from 1 species
CCUAGUGUGCUUUCUCAGACUUUCAAUGACCGGAGCACCAAUUGUAAGAUUUGGGACAAAAUGUCUGCAAAAGCAAUCAGAUGCUCUAUCAAAUGGCCCUCCAACUAAAAUCAGUUUAAAAAAAUGGGAAAAUCAUUCAAAACAGCCCUCAUAUUUUGUAAAAUAACUUUUUUUGUCCCUUACUUUUAAAAGUGUAAUUUUACAUUCCUUACAAAUUUACAUUGGUCAAUUUUGUUUCCUAUCUAGAUUUUCGACUAGUUUUUGGCCGGAAUCUAUCACGUGUCUUGCACAUGAUCAUUUUUUAGGGGUAAAAUUGUCAAACAUAUUUUACAUAAUCUGAUCUAUAGUCUCUCAUAUUUCACAAAAUGAAAUUUUUCGUCCCUCACAUUUCACAAAAUAAAUUUUUUCAUCCCUCAAAUUUUGCAAAAUAAAAAUUUUCAUCCCUAAUUAAUCAUGUGUGUGAUAGUAUUUUCUUAUUUUUAAAAACUUUUAUAUAUAUAUAUAUAUGUUUAUUUGAUUUCACCUGAAAAGUAUAGAUAGCAUGUAAUAUAUGUGUAUUUGAUUUCAUCUACAACUACAAUAAGAUGUAGAUGAAAUCAAAUACACAUAUUCCAUGCUAUUCAUAUUGUUCAGGUGAAUCAAAUAGAUAUAUAUAUAUAAUAUAUGAGUUUAAAAAAAAAAAGAAAUUAUUCGCACACAUGAUUAAUGAGAGAUGAAAAAAUUCAUUUUAUUAAAUGUAAAGGACGGAAAAAUUCAUUUUUUGAAAUGUAAGAGACGCAAAAAUUUAUUUUGUAAAAUAUGAGAGGCGAAAAAAAUCAAAUUAUGUGAAAUUUGAUUUAACAAAUUUGCCUCUAAAAAAUGAUCACGUGCAAGGCAUGUGCUGGAUUCCAACAAAAAACUAGUCGAAAAUCUAGGUAGGGACCAAAUUUGACCAAUGUGAAUUUAUAAGAAACGUAAAAUUACAUUUUUAAAAGUGAGAUAAAAAAAAGUUAUUUUGCAAAAUAUGAGGGACGUUUUGAUAAAUUUUCUCUAAAAAAAUUAUUGAAGUACUAAGAGAACUAUGAAGUUUUUUUUUUUUCUAUGGUUUGAAGUGAUGGCUUCAUCAUCUGGAAAUCCAACCUACCCGUCCUGCAAAGCCACAGAUCAGAAUUUCAAGUUCAAACUUACUUUUAUCCAAUUUUAAUGCUAAUGUUCAAGAGAACAUAGCCAAAAGGGGGAAAAAAGGCUUGAAACAAUAGAAGCCUAUAUUGACGUUAUGAUGCAUGUUAGUACCAUGAUGUCCAUAUGAAGCCAAUCAGCACCACAGUGGAGCAUGCGCUCUGCCUCAGAUGCCAAAUUGGCAAAGUCUGAUGAUAGCAUCGAUGGUGCGAUUUUGGGCUUCACCAUUGCUGAACCUCACACUAUUUGCAAUUAUCCCGUUUCUCAACUUUGAUUAACUCUUUAUGCU